rnacentral:rRNA from 1 species
GACUCAACACGGGGAAACUCACCAGGUCCAGACAUGACUAGGAUNGACAGAUUGAUAGCUCUUUCAUGAUUUUAUGGGUGGUGGUGCAUGGCCGUUNUUAGUUGGUGGAGUGAUUUGUCUGGUUAAUUCCGAUAACGAACGAGACCUUAACCUGCUAAAUAGCCAGGCCGGCUUUUGNUGGUCUCCGGCUUCUUAGAGGGACUGUCUGNGUNUAGCAGACGGAAGUUUGAGGCAAUAACAGGUCUGUGAUGCCCUUAGAUGUUNUGGGCCGCACGCGCGCUACACUGACAGAGCCAGCGAGUUUUUUUUCCUUGGCCGGAAGGUCUGGGUAAUCUUGUGAAACUCUGUCGUGCUGGGGAUAGAGCAUUGCAAUUAUUGCUCUUCAACGAGGAAUUCCUAGUAAGCGUGAGUCAUCAGCUCGCGUUGAUUACGUCCCUGCCCUUUGUACACACCGCCCGUCGCUACUACCGAUUGAAUGGCUUAGUGAGGCUUUCGGAUUGGACUUUGGCAGCNGGCANCAGCANCUAGGGANNGAAAANUCNUCCAAACUUGGUCAUUUAG